rnacentral:tRNA from 1 species
GGGGAGGUGGCUGAGUGGUUGAAAGCACCCGUCUUCUAAACGGGCGUGGACUCAGGUCUACCGUGGGUUCGAAUCCCACCCUCCCCGCCA